rnacentral:rRNA from 1 species
AUGGCCUCCCUCGCCGCCGCCUCCGCCUCCACGGCGCUCCUCUUCCCCUCCACCUCCUCCUCCAAGCCCCGCCUCCCGCUCUCCACAUCCCUUGGCUUCUCCGCGCCCGCGCGGUCACGCCGCGCCACUGCGGUGGCGGGGAGCUCCGGCAGGCGCCCGGGGCUGCUCGUCGUGCGCGCCGCCAGGGGCAAGUUCGAGCGGAACAAGCCCCACGUCAACAUCGGCACCAUCGGCCACGUCGACCACGGCAAGACCACCCUCACCGCCGCGCUCACCAUGGUGCUCGCCUCCGUCGGGGGCAGCGCGCCCAAGAAGUACGACGAGAUCGACGCCGCCCCUGAGGAGCGCGCCCGUGGUAUCACCAUCAACACCGCCACCGUCGAGUACGAGACGGAGACGCGCCACUACGCGCACGUCGACUGCCCCGGUCACGCCGACUACGUCAAGAACAUGAUUACCGGGGCCGCCCAGAUGGACGGCGCCAUCCUCGUCGUCUCCGGCGCCGACGGCCCCAUGCCGCAGACCAAGGAGCACAUCCUGCUCGCCAAGCAGGUCGGUGUCCCCAGCAUUGUUGUUUUCCUCAACAAGAAGGACCAGGUCGACGACGAGGAGCUGCUCGAGCUCGUCGAUCUCGAGGUCCGCGAGCUGCUCACGGCCUAUGAAUACGAUGGUGACAAUGUGCCAAUCGUCUCCGGCUCUGCACUCAGAGCGCUCGAGGCCCUCAUGGCCACCCCUGGCCUCAAGCGUGGGGAUAACGAGUGGGUGGAUGGCAUCUUCUCCUUGAUUGAUUCCGUGGAUACCCACAUCCCUGUCCCGCAGAGGCAGACCGACCUCCCCUUCUUGCUCGCUGUUGAGGAUGUUUUCUCCAUCACUGGUCGUGGUACAGUUGCCACUGGCCGUAUCGAGCGUGGCACCGUCAAGGUUGGGGACCCAGUCGACCUCGUCGGCAUCAGGGAGACCCGCAAUGCCACGGUCACUGGUGUUGAGAUGUUCCAGAAGACCAUGGAUGAUGCCAUUGCUGGGGACAAUGUUGGGCUUCUGCUCCGUGGUAUGCAGAAGGAAGACAUUGAGAGAGGCAUGGUGUUGGCAAAGCCCGGUUCCAUCACGCCACACACCAAGUUUGAGGCUGUUGUGUAUGUGCUCAAGAAGGAGGAGGGUGGCCGGCACUCCCCAUUUUUCCCUGGUUACCGUCCGCAAUUCUACAUGCGGACUACUGAUGUCACGGGGAAUGUGACAAACAUUAUGAACGACAAGGAUGAGGAGGCGAAGAUGUGCAUGCCAGGUGACCGUAUCAAGAUGGUUGUGGAGCUCAUCCAGCCUGUGGCUUGUGAGCAGGGAAUGAGGUUUGCCAUCCGUGAAGGUGGCAAGACCGUCGGUGCCGGUGUCAUCAAUAAUAUCAUUCAGUAA